AUCUUUGCGCUUGGGGCAAUGACGCGGCUAGUGAGGUUUUAACCGAGGCGCGUCUAUUGCUGGUUGAAAACUAUUUCCAAACCCCCUCUUAGGCCUUGGUUCUGCCCUGGCCUUUGAGAAUUUCUGGAAGGGUUCCCUUCGGGGUAAAACU
rnacentral:snRNA from 1 species